rnacentral:lncRNA from 1 species
AGGUGAUCACUUGGGAGGCAGAGGAUUCUAGAGCUUCUUUUAAUUUCCUGAAUGACGAUGGGUCACUUCUACGCUGCCAACGUCUUUUCCAGAAAACUACCACAAAUCACAACCAUCCUCAGUAAUUACAAGCUUUUUCUUGCCUUACAGCACCCCUCCGUCCUAUCUGAUCUAGCACGGAAAAGCCUGAUUCUUAAAGGUAUGCCUUCAGGGUUGGAGAAGUGGCCACCCCAAAUUUCAGGGUCACUGCAUUUAGUCAAGAGUAGCCUCCAAAGUCCCCAGAUGGUUCGACUGGGGUGGAGUAAUCCUAGGGUGCUGCAGAAGUCACUCAGUCUGAGAGAGCAGCCUUUGAUCCCUGCAAAACCCGGAGGACUACGCUGGGUUUGCUAAAGACGAAUAAAACACUGAGAAUGACCAAAAUGUAUAGAAAAUUAAUUCCCAGCCCGCCCCCCAAGUAAAACUCCAGCUCUGGCUUGCUGUAGCUACGCAAGGGCCUGACAGCUCUCCCUGCGCGUGCGUGCGUGCAGCUCCUUCCUAAAGCACUGGCGGCAGUCAGCAUAGAGCACGCGCGGGGAGGGACCCAGGCCGCGGGAGCUGCAGGGAGAGGGGGACAAGCCCGGUUCCCAGCUUGUUCUACGGACAAGCCGGUAGAGCCGGCCAGUCGCGGGAGCAUCUGACAAAAGCUGUAAGCUGUGACCUCUGAAGCCAUGAGGGAUUCAAGGGAUACUGCGAGCUCCUGGUACUUACAUCGUCGCCACUCACUGUCUGCUUUCACCAGCUGGUCCACCAGCCCCGGGUCCUUGAAGCGCUUCUCCUGCGUCUCUCGAAUGAGGGCUGGGUCCCCUCCUUUAUCCACCCGAAACAAAUCCAGGUCCAGCACCAUCCUUCUACCUCACCAGUUAACACUAAGAGAGGACUGUAAGCGGCGGGUGGACGAUGCACUGCGCCUGCGCGCUGACCUGGUCUCACUGCGCAGGCACCCGGCAGCCCGGGAGGGGGCGGCGCCUAGCUCGCCGGAAGCCGCAGUGUUAGGCAGGGUCCAGAGGGAGUGGUGAGAAGUGAAAAGGGCGUGGUAGCCUUAUGCGGGUUGUUUCUCUGCUGAACUCCUUACUGAAAGGCCUUCUGAUCGCCCCCCACUGAAAUCGUGAAUGCCUCAGGUUCCUCUGGUUGAAGGGAGUAUCUCGGUGUGGACCGAAGCUGACUUGGAAGACAAUGCACUUUGCAGAUGCCAGUUUUCCUCUAUCUUGAUUACAGAGCACACACCCAGUUACCUACCCUCAAGAUUCUCGAGCCCUGGGGCUUUUUGUUUUGAUACAGGGUCUCACAGUGUAGCUCUGACUAGCAACUAUGUAAACCUGGCCAGCCUCAAACAAAAUGUUGGGAUUAAAGAUGUGUGCCAUUUCA